ACAGCGGAGAGUUUGAUCCUGGCUCAGGAUGAACGCUAGCGGCAGGCUUAACACAUGCAAGUCGAGGGGCAUCGGGAGGGAAGCUUGCUUUCCUUGCCGGCGACCGGCGCACGGGUGAGUAACACGUAUGCAACCUGCCCUCUUCAGGGGGACAACCUUCCGAAAGGGAGGCUAAUCCCGCGUAUAUCGGUUUCGGGCAUCCGUUAUCGAGGAAAGAUUCAUCGGAAGAGGAUGGGCAUGCGGCGCAUUAGCUUGACGGCGGGGUAACGGCCCACCGUGGCGACGAUGCGUAGGGGUUCUGAGAGGAAUGUCAGGCUAGGGAAUGUUUGGAGUGAUAAACUUCUAUUGAAUCAGGAGAAG
rnacentral:rRNA from 1 species